rnacentral:rRNA from 1 species
UACGUAGGGUGCAAGCGUUGUCCGGAAUUAUUGGGCGUAAAGAGCUCGUAGGCGGUCUGUCGCGUCGGCUGUGAAAUCCCGAGGCUCAACCUCGGGUCUGCAGUCGAUACGGGCAAACUAGAGUAUUGCAGGGGAGACUGGAAUUCCUGGUGUAGCGGUGAAAUGCGCAGAUAUCGGGAGGAACACCGGUGGCGAAGGCGGUUCUCUGGGCCUUACCUGACGCUGAGGAGCGAAAGCGUG